rnacentral:rRNA from 1 species
UAAUACGGAGGAUCCAAGCGUUAUCCGGAUUUAUUGGGUUUAAAGGGUGCGUAGGCGGAUUAGUAAGUCAGUGGUGAAAGCCUGCAGCUCAACUGUAGAACUGCCAUUGAUACUGCUAGUCUUGAAUAUAGUUGAGGUAGGCGGAAUAUGACAUGUAGCGGUGAAAUGCUUAGAUAUGUCAUAGAACACCGAUUGCGAAGGCAGCUUGCUAAACUAUUAUUGACGCUGAGGCACGAAAGCGUGGGUAGCAAACAGGAUUAGAUACCCUGGUAGUCCACGCCCUAAACGAUGAUCACUCGAUGUUAGCGAUACACAGUUAGCGUCUAAGGGAAACCAUUAAGUGAUCCACCUGGGGAGUACGGUCGCAAGACUG